GCUCGGCCCUAAACAUCGGAAGUUCCUACAACACACCCCGCCAGAGAACUACAAGCAAAAGCUUUAAACUCAAAGGACUUGGCGGUGCCCCACACCACCCUAGAGGAGCCUGUCCUAUAAUCGAUACCCCACGUUAAACCUCACCACAUUUUGCACUCGCCAGCCUAUAUACCGCCGUCGUAUGCUUACACCAUGAGGGCAUAUAAGUAAGCACAACAGUAACAUACUAAAACAUCAGGUCAAGGUGUAGCUAACAAAGUGGAAGCGAUGGGCUACAUUUUCUACAACAGAACAUACGGCAAAUACAAUGAAAUACUGAAUUACAAGGUGGAUUUAGCAGUAAACUAAGGCAAGAAUGCCAACUUUAACCCUGCUCUGGGGCGCGCACACACCGCCCGUCACCCUCAUCAAAAACAACCACAAGCAGUCCAUAAAACUAUCCGACCAACACAAAGAUGAGGUA
rnacentral:rRNA from 1 species